rnacentral:lncRNA from 1 species
CUGUGUCCUAGGUGGGAAGGUAUAUUAUGCAAUGGUUUUUAAAAAAACUUCCUAGGGACUAGGGGUAGAGCUUAGUGGUAGAACACUUGAUUAGUAUGUGUGAGGCUCUGGGUUUGAUCCCCAAAGUUUUAAGUACUCAGUGCUUGCUGAGCACCUAAUACAUGCUGGGUCCCAAACCAGGAGCUCCCACAUAUAUGAUUUUCUUUUUUUGAUUCCUACAACGGGCUUCUGAGAGGGGACUGUGCUCCCAUUUGCCAGAUGAAGAAACUGAGGCUCCAAAGGGCUUCAUGUUGUUUGAAGUGUUACCACUAGAGAGCAGCGGAAUCAGUCCAGUCUCCUCUCUGCUUUCAUCACAGGCCCCUACGUUGGGCUGGGCAGUGGCAUGGGCUGCAAUUCUUGCUCUGCCCCUCACUAGCUGUGUGGCUUGAACAAACUACCUGACCUCUCUGAGUUUCAGUUUCUUUACCUGUGACCGGUUGACUUACCUUUGUCAGUUGUCAUGAAAUGCAAAACAGUAUCAUAUGAAGGUGCCUAAAAACACUGCCUGGCAUGGUACAGGUCUGUGUCCAUUGCUUUCCUCCUUAUCAACAAGAUGCUUUGGUUUCGUGAAGUUGACAGAUUAAUCGGUCUUACUGGGUUGGGAUCCUCAGGGCCCAGUGGAGAGCAGGGCAUGGAGCAGACACUCAAUAAAUAUUUGUUCAAUGAACAGAUAUGCAGUGCUUGUAUCUACAGAUGCCAACCAUCUGGAUACUUCAGAGUGAUGGAUUAUUGACUUUUCAUCUGAAUGCUGUAUGUCAUCCUGGAAUAUAUACAGCCAGAGUCAUCUGAAAUGACAGGAACACAGUCACAUCUCACUGAUGCAGAUUCAUUGGGGGGAAACAUGUAAAUCAG